rnacentral:rRNA from 1 species
UGGGGAAUAUUGCACAAUGGGCGCAAGCCUGAUGCAGCCAUGCCGCGUGUGUGAAGAAGGCCUUCGGGUUGUAAAGCACUUUCAGCGAGGAGGAAGGUGGUGAACUUAAUACGUUCAUCAAUUGACGUUACUCGCAGAAGAAGCACCGGCUAACUCCGUGCCAGCAGCCGCGGUAAUACGGAGGGUGCAAGCGUUAAUCGGAAUUACUGGGCGUAAAGCGCACGCAGGCGGUUUGUUAAGUCAGAUGUGAAAUCCCCGGGCUCAACCUGGGAACUGCAUUUGAAACUGGCAAGCUAGAGUCUCGUAGAGGGGGGUAGAAUUCCAGGUGUAGCGGUGAAAUGCGUAGAGAUCUGGAGGAAUACCGGUGGCGAAGGCGGCCCCCUGAACGAAGACUGACGCUCAGGUGCGAAAGCGUGGGGAGCAAAACAGGAUUAGAUACCCUGGUAGUCCACGCUGUAAAACGAUGUCGAUUUUGGAGGUUGUGCCCUUGAGGCGUGGCUUCCGGAGCUAACGCGUUAAAUCGACCGCCUGGGGAGUACGGCC